GGCCUCCCAAAGUGCUGGGAUUACAGGCGUGAGCCACCGCGCCCGGCCAAAUGCUACCAUUGUUAAGUGCCAGGCGUCCCACCAUGCGGGUCUUCACUGCGUAUCCACGUAGCUGCACCACGCAGGCAUUCUUUCCUCCCUUUUGCAGAUGAUGGCACCAAAGUUCAAGACUCGCCCAGGGCCACCAAGACAGUCCUCUAGACUUUGGUCUUCCCUCCUUGCCUCCUCGGCCUGGGGUGGUGGCGCCUCGGUCUGAGAAGGGUCGAGGUCUGGGUGCUGCUAGUGGCCCUGGCUCAGUCUCAGAGCUGCCCGGAGGGGGUGAGGAUGGCUAACUUAAGGAGCACAGGCCUCAAUCCCCAAGCACUGUUGGCCCUGGACUGUUUCCCCCCCUCAAUUCUGUUUCUCAAUGCCUGCUUCUUCCCAGUAAGUGCCACACCCUGAGGGUGGGUGGGAGAGUGAGGCAGCACUGCCCACUUUGGCUGGGACUGGGCACUGCUGGGGACAGCACGGGCCACGUCUUCCCCAUCUCAAGACUGGCUUUUUGGCUAGGCAUUGUGACUCACGCCUGUAAUCUCAGCACUUUGGGAGGCUGAGGUGGGAGAAUUGCUUCAGCCCAGGAGUUCCAGACCAGCCUGGGCAAAAUAGCAAGAAUUCAUCUUUAUGAAAAAGAAAAAAAAAAUUAGCCAGGCAUGGUGGCACACACUUAUAGUCCCAGAUACUUAGGAGGCCGAGGUGGGAGGAUCCCUUGAGCCCAUGAGUUGGAGGCCGUGGUGAGCUAUCAGUUGCACCACUGCACUCCAGCCUGGAUGGCAGAGCAAGACCCCAACUCAAAAAAAAAAAAAAAAAAAAAAAGGCGGCCUUUUCCCAGCUGGCAGCACCCUGGCUAGUUAGGGUUUCUCCGAAUCUGCAACUCCUGUGUGAUGGCGGGUCUCAAAUGCUGGCAGCAGAGUCACCGGUCAGCGGCAAGACCUGGAGUCUCCAUUUGGAACCAGCACCCGGGAGCCUCUGCUGGGGGUGAUCAUGGAGCCGCACGUGGAGGCUGGUGGCUCUGAUGGUUCGAGCCGUUCCUCGGCAGCACAGCACACCCGCUCCUGAGGAGCCACGGAGCUCAUGAGCGUUGGCAAAGUGCUGUCAGUGCUGGCUGUAAGGAAACAGGCUUGACUUUUAACUCAGCCUUUCCCAAACUUGACUAUAAUACUUUCUUGAAAAUCAGAAUAACCACUAACAUCACAAAACGAGUGUUCUCAGGAGUGGGCAUGUUUAUCUCGUUCUCUUUUUUUUUUUCUUUUUGAGACGGAGCCUCGCUCUGUUGCCCAGGCUGGAGUGCAAUGGUGCGAUCUCGACUCACGGCAAUCUCCGUCUCCCCGGUUCAAGCGAUUCUCCUGCCUCAGGCUCCCGAGUAGUUGGGAUUACAGGCGCACGCCACCACGCCCGAUUAAUGUUUAUUUUUAGUACAGACGGGGUUUCUCCAUGUUGGUCAGGAUGGUCUCGAACUCCUGACCUCAGGUGAGCCUCCUGCCUUGGCCUCCCAAAGUGCUGGGAUUAUAGGCGUGAGCCACCACGCCCAGUCUUUUUUUAAAUAUUUGAGUGAAAUAAAGCCUAGGAGAUAUGUGUUCCAGGCGCCCAAGCUGUUAAUGUGGAGCUUGAAUGUGGCCUGGACCUGCCCUUUCCUCUUCUCCUUUCAUCCCCCUCCCUGCCGCCCACAUCCUGAACUGCUCUGAGCCUGCAGAAGAACCCAGCGGGAAUCUUCAGGGUUGUGGAAGGGUGUAGGGAUGGAAAGGGACCAGGAUUCGCCUGUUUGGCUGGGAAAAUCGGUAGAGGAGGGUGGCUCACACUUCUAAGAUGUCUGCACAAGCCCAGUUUGUUUGGGGGUUGGGGAGGAAGGUCUUUUCCUGGCCCACUGUCCCUCCCGAGUCAGCAGUCCCCCAGAGAGACGAAGAGCAGCUGGGCACGGCUGGAGCUGGUCGGUGGCAGAGAAUCUUGUCCUGCCUUUUCUUCUCAAGCUCAAAAUAGGCACAUGCAGCUAUUAACUGAUAUGCCAGAAGGGGCAUCCCUUACCCGGAGGAAAAUGGAUUUAUUGCUUUAUAAAAAAG
rnacentral:lncRNA from 1 species